GAUGAACGCUGGCGGCGUGCUUAACACAUGCAAGUCGAACGAUGAUCCGGUGCUUGCACCGGGGAUUAGUGGCGAACGGGUGAGUAACACGUGAGUAACCUGCCCUUGACUCUGGGAUAAGCCUGGGAAACUGGGUCUAAUACCGGAUAUGACUACUCAUCGCAUGGUGGGGGGUGGAAAGCUUUUGCGGUUUUGGAUGGACUCGCGGCCGAUCAGCUUGUUGGUGAGGUAAUGGCUCACCAAGGCGACGACGGGUAGCCGGCCCGAGAGGGUGACCGGCCACACUGGGACUGAGACACGGCCCAGACUCCUACGGGAGGCAGCAGUGGGGAAUAUUGCACAAUGGGCGGAGGCCUGAUGCAGCGACGCCGCGUGAGGGAUGACGGCCUUCGGGUUGUAAACCUCUUUCAGUAGGGAAGAAGCGAAAGUGACGGUACCUGCAGAAGAAGCGCCGGCUAACUACGUGCCAGCCGCCGCCGUAAUAC
rnacentral:rRNA from 1 species